rnacentral:rRNA from 1 species
UACGUAGGGUGCGAGCGUUACUCGGAAUUACUGGGCGUAAAGCGUGCGCAGGCGGUUUUGUAAGCCAGAUGUGAAAUCCCCGGGCUUAACCUGGGAAUGGCAUUUGGGACUGCAAGGCUGGAGUGCGGCAGAGGAGACUGGAAUUCCUGGUGUAGCAGUGAAAUGCGUAGAUAUCAGGAGGAACACCGAUGGCGAAGGCAAUCCCCUGGGCCUGCACUGACGCUCAUGCACGAAAGCGUGGGGAGCAAACAGG